UACGUAGGGUGCGAGCGUUGCCCGGAUUUAUUGGGCGUAAAGGGCGCGCAGGCGGCCACGCGCGUCCGUUGUGAAAUCGCUCGGCUCAACUGGGCGAGGUCAGCGGAUACGGCGUGGCUGGAGCAAGCUAGGGGGCAAUGGAAUUCCCGGUGUAGUGGUGGAAUGCGUAGAUAUCGGGAGGAACACCAGUGGCGAAGGCGGUUGCCUGGAGCUUUGCUGACGCUGAGGCGCGAAAGCUAGGGGAGCAAACGGG
rnacentral:rRNA from 1 species